UGGGGAAUCUUGGACAAUGGGCGCAAGCCUGAUCCAGCCAUGCCGCGUGGAUGAUGAAGGCCUUAGGGUUGUAAAAUCCUUUCGUUGGGGACGAUAAUGACGGUACCCAAAGAAGAAGCUCCGGCUAACUUCGUGCCAGCAGCCGCGGUAAUACGAAGGGGGCUAGCGUUGUUCGGAUUUACUGGGCGUAAAGCGCGUGUAGGCGGAUUUGUAAGUUGGGGGUGAAAUCCCGAGGCUCAACCUCGGAACUGCCUCCAAAACUACAAGUCUGGACCUAAGUAGAGGCAAGUGGAAUUGCGAGUGUAGAGGUGAAAUUCGUAGAUAUUCGGAAGAACACCAGUGGCGAAGGCGGCUAACUGGCGCGUUUCUGACGCUGAGGUGCGAAAGCGUGGGGAGCAAACAGGAUUAGAUACCCCAGUAGUCCCUGAGCGGGCUGGCAAGGCGCAU
rnacentral:rRNA from 1 species